GGUCGGACCUGAUGCUGA
rnacentral:siRNA from 1 species